GAUGAACGCUGGCGGCGUGCCUAAUACAUGCAAGUCGAGCGAACAGAUAAGGAGCUUGCUCCUUUGACGUUAGCGGCGGACGGGUGAGUAACACGUGGGUAACCUACCUAUAAGACUAGGAUAACUUCGGGAAACCGGAGCUAAUACCGGAUAACAUUUGGAACCGCAUGGUUCUAAAGUGAAAGAUGGUUUUGCUAUCACUUAUAGAUGGACCCGCGCCGUAUUAGCUAGUUGGUAAGGUAACGGCUUACCAAGGCGACGAUACGUAGCCGACCUGAGAGGGUGAUCGGCCACACUGGAACUGAGACACGGUCCAGACUCCUACGGGAGGCAGCAGUAGGGAAUCUUCCGCAAUGGGCGAAAGCCUGACGGAGCAACGCCGCGUGAGUGAUGAAGGGUUUCGGCUCGUAAAACUCUGUUAUUAGGGAAGAACAAACGUGUAAGUAACUGUGCACGUCUUGACGGUACCGGAAGAAUAAGGACCGGCUAACUACGUGCCAGCCGCCGCCGUAA
rnacentral:rRNA from 1 species